rnacentral:misc_RNA from 1 species
GUAGGUGAACCUGCGGAAGGAUCAUUAGUGAAUUUUAGGGCGUCUACUUGUAGAGCCUGACCUCCACUCUCUAACACUGUGCACUUUUUGGCGGGUUAAGGAAAGACUAGUAAUAGUCCGCCCUAGACCUGCGGCUCAUUUUAUAACACUAGUCAAAGAAUGUAACGAAAUAUCGAAACAAAAAAAAACUUUCAACAACGGAUCUCUUGGCUCUC